CGGGGCAUUGCACAGUGGAUUAGUGCGUCUGUUUUGGGGACAGAAGGUCGUGGGUUCGAAUCCUACUGCCCCGA
rnacentral:tRNA from 1 species